rnacentral:rRNA from 1 species
GAUGAACGCUGGCGGCGUGCCUAAUACAUGCAAGUCGAGCGAACGGACGAGAAGCUUGCUUUUCUGAUGUUAGCGGCGGACGGAUGAGUAACACGUGGAUAACCUACCUAUAAGACUGGGAUAACUUCGGGAAACCGGAGCUAAUACCGGUUAAUAUUUUGAACCGCAUGGUUCAAAAGUGAAAGACGGUCUUGCUGUCACUUAUAGAUGGAUCCGCGCUGCAUUAGCUAGUUGGUAAGGUAACGGCUUACCAAGGCAACGAUGCAUAGCCGACCUGAGAGGGUGAUCGGCCACACUGGAACUGAGACACGGUCCAGACUCCUACGGGAGGCAGCAGUAGGGAAUCUUCCGCAAUGGGCGAAAGCCUGACGGAGCAACGCCGCGUGAGUGAUGAAGGUCUUCGGAUCGUAAAACUCUGUUAUUAGGGAAGAACAUAUGUGUAAGUAACUGUGCACAUCUUGACGGUACCUAAUCAGAAAGCCACGGCUAACUACGUG